rnacentral:misc_RNA from 1 species
GAUGAAGAACGUAGCGAAAUGCGAUAAGUAGUGUGAAUUGCAGAAUUCAGCGAAUCAUCGAAUCUUUGAACGCACAUUGCGCCCCUUGGUAUUCCAUGGGGCAUGCCUGUUCGAGCGUCAUCUACACCCUCAAGCUCUGCUUGGUGUUGGGCGUCUGUCCCGCCCCCGCGCGUGGACUCGCCCCAAAUCCAUUGGCAGCGUUCCUUGCCCCCUCUCGCGCAGCACAUUGCGCUUCUCGAGGGCGGCUCCGGGACGCGAUCCAGCAAGAUGACCACCGUCUUUGACCUCGGAUCAGGUAGGGAUACCCGCUGAACUUAAGCAUAUCAAUAAGCGGAGGA